CAGCUGUGUCCUCUGGGCUGGUGGUGCUCACCUGGGCUUUGGGAGGGUGGUUCCAUUGGAGGCAGCCACACAAAACACAUUUUGAUGAAGUGAAAUCCAUCUCAGGAUUCCAGGGGAGCAGGUUCUGAUGCUGAGAGCAGCUCCCUAUUAAGGCUGUGUUUUAUGAGAGGAAAUGAAGUUGGAUUUUACUGUGGGCCUGUGCUGCCUGGUUCUGCAGUAGCUGGGCAGCCAGACUAUGGAAAGCCCGAAGUAUGAGCUGGUUAUAGAAGCCAAGGACAUGGGUGGGAUGGAUGUGGGACUGACGGGCACAGCCACUGCCACCAUUCUUAUCGAUGACAAAAAUGACCACGCACCAGAAUUCACCAAGA